GAAAAAAUCAAAGAGCCUAUUUCCUGCAAGGUCAUCUUGGUUUGUUUUGCUUUGUUUUUCCAGCAUAUAUACAACUGAAUCAUACUGCAGCAAGGAGUUACACUCGUGUUACUCUGGGAUGUAAACUGAAGCAAGCAGAGCUCAGAAGUCUUGGGAUUGAGCAGAGUUUUCUUCCUUUUAGCUGAGUUUCUGUCUGCAUACAGGAACCUGUGCUGAUGAAUUCUAUUGGGUAGAAUAAAGAAAAAGAAAAGGGAAUUAAAUGGGAAGAGACAACCUGGCCUGGUGAAUAAAGCAACAGACUUGAGGGGAUCUGGAGACCUAGAUACUAUUCCCAGCUCUUCCCUGCAGUGUGAAUUUAGAUCCAAAACUUGUUCUGCCAGUUCAACCAACAGCAUAGGAAGGUAUUACCUAGGAUUUAGGAGUAUUAUCCUUUCUCUCCGAGAAUGCAGGGAUUUUUUGGCUUUCUUCCUUCAGAGCUAAUAAACUACUUUGCAUGAUGGUAAGAAAAAAAAAAAAAAAAAGUGAGAGAGAAACCUUUUCUGAUGCAUUCUUCUCUCUUGAAUGGUUUAUGUGUAGUGCUGUGUUCAUUCCCUUCAUGGUGGUGAUUGCUCAGGAAAUUUGAGUAAGUAAUUGUGCCUAAGUAUUUACAUUCCAAUAUUUUAUUAAAUAACCAGUUAGUAUUAUCACACAGUACAAUAAAAGCCAACUAUCAGAUGUCCUUCA
rnacentral:lncRNA from 1 species